UAAAGAACUUGGUAAUAAAAGUGGAAGAAUAUCAAGGGUUCGAGAAAAAGGAGGAUAAAUAUUAAAAAUGUUAAAAAUUCACUAGCAGGGGUAGGUGCUGAAAGAGCCAUUGGAUUUUAGCUCAGAGGGAUUAAUAUGUGUCAAACCUUAGCAUUAAGUGUCCUAAUAUAAGGGGUAGGCCAUUUGAAUUUGAAUCCUAACCAUGAAGCAUCCAUUCUCAGUUUCAACCAGAAGGAGGGGUUCUCUCGAGGAGAAUUUAUUCCAUGAGAUGGAGACCUGCCUCAAGAGAGAGGACCCACACGGGACAAGAACCUCAGAUCAACCUCUAAAUAUCUUUGAAGGAGACAACAACUUUUAAAUGAAUAAAGAGGAAGUCAAGUUGCCCUAUAGAAAACUUGUCCAAAUAACAUUUCAACAGCUAAAUUGAUAAAGACUGGUGAUAAUAAAAGUUGAAUUAUGUAUAUCACUGUUAAA
rnacentral:sRNA from 1 species